AUACUUACCCGGCAGGAGAGAUACUGUGAUCACAAAGGCUGUUUUCCCAGGGCGAGGCUUAUACAUUGCACUCUGGAUAUGCUGACCCUUGCAAUUUCCCCAAAUGUGGGAAACUCAACUGCAGAAUUUGUGGUAGUGGGGGACUGUGCUCAUGCUCUCUCA
rnacentral:snRNA from 1 species